rfam:Brassica napus, WGS project CCCW01000000 data, contig: 17255
UGAUAGCAUGCUUAGUUAUUGCUUGGGAAUCAUAGUAGCAUGCUAAUGGUUAGGUUGAUUGGUUAGUUAGCGAAUGCUGAAUGCUUGCUUGUUUUUUUAGGUUAGUCAGCUUUUGGUAAGGGAGUGACUAACUGGUUGAGUUGUUUAGUGAUAAUAUUGUUGUUAGUGUUGUAGAGUUAGAGUGUGAUGCCAUAUAGCUUGUGUGUAACCCACCAUGCUAGGCAUGUUUGAGGUGGAUUAGUGUUUCCUCGACCUCGUACCCAGUGGGUUUAAGGAAACCCCUUAUUCGCUGGAUCGAGAACACUCAGAGAGACGGUGUCAUGGCCAAUGGCUGAGUGGUUACACGGACGGGGUAGUGACCGGCAGUGACCCGACUGUACUGGGGCUGUCUCGUGGUGACCCGACCGUACUGUGGGCUGCGAUUGUCGUGUAACAACCGGUAGUGGCCCGACAGUACUGGGGCUGUCGCGCGGUGACCCGAGCGUUCGGUUGAAAGUUCCUUCUUCAGGCCUUUGUGGUAGGGAGAUAGGAUAUUGCCGAGGAUAGAGGAGGAACACUAAGUCACAAAGGGCCCUAGUUAUAGUGUAGAGGGUGUAGAGGGUUGUUGAACCCUGGAUUGAGUGGUUAGCAAGUCAUUAGCGGUUACGAUUUCAUAUCUUUAAUUAUCUUGCUAUUAUUAUCCGCUGCGUAUUUCAGAUAUUGCUUAUUAGGUGAACCUCUCGCUUUAGAAUUUUUCGGGUGGGAUAGCGAGGGGUUGUAUUUGUUAGUUGGGGAUCAUAAUUCACUGAGUAACACUAGGUUACUCAUCCAACUCCGUUUUCCUUUUUUCAGAUAGCUUAGGUAAGGAUGAUCGGAUAGCUGGGUGCUGGACGUUAGGACUGCCGGUGUAGAUUUUCAUGCCUUUUGUAAACGGUAUUGUGGAUUUGUUUUUAGAUGACUCGUUUUGGCAUUAGGCCGGGACCGGUCUCGAAUUGUAUCAAUGUAUGGAUAUUUCUCAAAUCAAUAAAGUAAUUGUUUUAUAUGCGCUUCAUGAGUACUCUGAUAUUUGACUAGUCCGGUCUAACACAACGUUAGGUCGUAGUACGGGUUGAAAAGCCUUAGGCCUCGAUCUAACGGAAAACGCUAACUCUAGGUAAGGGUUGCAAAGCCUUGUGCCUUGACGCAGCGGGACGAGUUAGUGGAUGAACUGGUCUAGGUCGUGGAGUAAAUUUUGUGACUCUGACCGGAUCGUCCCUAAUCCGUCACGUAGUGCUUCCGGACCAUGGUGUUGGGUUGGACGGCCAGUCAUGUUCUUGUUUGAUUGUUGGCUGGCCGGUUGGCCUUUCAUCUCCAACCCUGGGUGUUGGAUGGUCGAUCGGUCAUGUUCUUGUCGGAUUGUUGGCCGGUUGAUCGACCAUAUGUCUAGGACUGUUCGGGGGUGUUACAGUCGGGGGCAUUCGUAUUUCAUAGUCAGAGGUGAAAUUCUUGGAUUUAUGAAAGACGAACAACUGCGAAGGCAUUUGCCAAGGAUGUUUUCGUUAAUCAAGAACGAAAGUUGAGGGCUCGAAGACGAUCAGAUACCGUCCUAGUCUCAACCAUAAACGAUGCCGACCAGGGAUCAGCGGAUGUUGCUUUUAGGACUCCGCUGGCACCUUAUGAGAAAUCAAAGUUUUUGGGUUCCGGGGGGGGGGGGGUAUGGUCGCAAGGCUGAAACUUAAAGGAAUUGAAGGAAGGGCACCACCAGGAGUGGAGCCUGCGGCUUAAUUAGACUCAGCACGGGGAAACUUACCAGGUCCAGACAUAGUAAGGAUUAACAGACUGAGAGCUCUUUCUUGAUUCUAUGGGUGGUGGUGCAUGGCCGUUCUUAGUUGGUGGAGCGAUUUGUCUGGUUAAUUCCGUUAACGAACGAGACCUCAGCCUGCUAACUAGCUACGUGGAGGCAUCCCUUCACGGCUGGCUUCUUAGAGGGACUAUGGCCGUUUAGGCCAAGGAAGUUUGAGGCAAUAACAGGUCUGUGAUGCCCUUAGAUGUUCUGGGCCGCACGCGGGCUACACUGAUGUAUUCAACGAGUUCACACCUUGGCCGACAGGCCCGGGUCAUCUUUGAAAUUUCAUCGUGAUGGGGAUAGAUCAUUGCAAUUGUUGGUCUUCAACGAGGAAUUCCUAGUAAGCGCGAGUCAUGAGCUCGCGUUGACUACAUCCCUGCCCUUUGUACACACCGCCCGUCGCUCCUACCGAUUGAAUGAUCCGGUUAAGUGUUCGGAUCGCGACGACGUGGGUGGUUUGCCGUCUGCGACGUCGCGAGAAGUCCACUAAACCUUAUCAUUUAGAGGAAGGAGAAGUCGUAACAAGGUUUCCGUAGGUGAACAUGCGGAAGGAUCAUUG